AGCAGCCGCGGUAAUUCCAGCUCCAAUAGCGUAUAUUAAAGUUGUUGCAGUUAAAAAGCUCGUAGUUGAAUUUCGGGGUUAGUAGGUUGGUCAUGCCUCUGGUAUGUACUGGUCUCACUGAUUCCUCCUUCCUGAUGAGCCGUAAUGCCAUUAAUUUGGUGUUGCGGGGAAUUUGGACUGUUACUUUGAAAAAAUUAGAGUGUUUAAAGCAGGCUCACGCUUGAAUACAUUAGCAUGGAAUAACGAAAUAGGACGUUUGAUUCUAUUUUGUUGGUUUCUAGGAUCGACGUAAUGAUUAAUAGGGAUAGUUGGGGGCAUUAGUAUUCAAUUGUCAGAGGUGAAAUUCUUGGAUUUAUUGAAGACUAACUACUGCGAAAGCAUUUGCCAAGGAUGUUUUCAUUAAUCAAGAACGAAAGUUAGGGGAUCGAAGACGAUCAGAUACCGUCGUAGUCUUAACCAUAAACUAUGCCGACUAGGGAUCGGAUGAUGUUAAUUUUUUAAUGACUCACUCGGCGCCUUA
rnacentral:rRNA from 1 species